GACGAACGCUGGCGGUGUGCCUAACACAUGCCAGUCGAACGGUAAGGCCCUUUCGGGGGUACACGAGUGGCGAACGGGUGAGUAACACGUGAGUAACCUGCCCUCAUCUCUGGGAUAACAGUCGGAAACGGUUGCUAAUACUGGAUAUGAGCUUGCAAGGCAUCUUGUGGGUUGGAAAGAUUUUUUUGGUUGGGGAUGGACUCGCGGCCUAUCAGCUUGUUGGUGAGGUAGUGGCUCACCAAGGCUUCGACGGGUAGCCGGCCUGAGAGGGCGACCGGCCACAUUGGGACUGAGAUACGGCCCAAACUCCUACGGGAGGCAGCAGUGGGGAAUAUUGCACAAUGGACGGAAGUCUGAUGCAGCAACGCCGCGUGCGGGAUGACGGCCUUCGGGUUGUAAACCGCUUUCAAUUGUGACGAAGCUUUUUGUGACGGUAGCAGUAGAAGAAGCACCGGCUAACUACGUG
rnacentral:rRNA from 1 species